UCGAGGAUCUUUCGCAAUGGGCGAAAGCCUGACGAAGCGACGCCGUGUGAGCGAUGAAGGCCUUCGGGUUGUAAAGCUCUUUCGCACGGGAACAAGGUAGAUUUGCAAAUAGCAGAUCAGUUUGAGGGUACCGUGUAAAGAAGCACCGGCUAACUCCGUGCCAGCAGCUGCGGUAAUACGGAGGGUGCAAGCAUUAAUCGGAUUUAUUGGGCGUAAAGGGCGCGUAGGCGGAUUAGUAAGUCAGAUGUGAAAUACCGAAGCUCAACUUCGGCACUGCAUUUGAAACUACUAGUCUCGAGGGAUGGCGGAGAAAACGGAAUUCCACGUGUAGCGGUGAAAUGCGUAGAUAUGUGGAAGAACACCUGUGGCGAAAGCGGUUUUCUAGCUAUUACCUGACGCUGAGGCGCGAGAGCAAGGGGAUCAAACAGGAUUAGAUACCCCUGUAGUCC
rnacentral:rRNA from 1 species